GUAGGGGGCAAGCGUUAUCCGGAUUUACUGGGUGUAAAGGGAGCGUAGACGGCACGGCAAGCCAGAUGUGAAAGCCCGGGGCUCAACCCCGGGACUGCAUUUGGAACUGCUGAGCUAGAGUGUCGGAGAGGCAAGUGGAAUUCCUAGUGUAGCGGUGAAAUGCGUAGAUAUCGGGAGGAACACCAGUGGCGAAGGCGACUUCCUGGCCUGUUCUUGACGCUGAGGCGCGAAAGCUAGGGGAGCAAACGGGAUUAGAUACCCCGGUAGUCCUAGCCGUAAACGAUGGACACUAGGUGUUGGUGGUAUCAACCCCGCCAGUGCCGUAGCUAACGCAUUAAGUGUCCCGCCUGGGGAGUACGGUCGCAAGGCUG
rnacentral:rRNA from 1 species